rnacentral:snoRNA from 1 species
UACAAGCCUGUUGGAUGUGAUUUAGCUUGUCAUAGUUACUCUGAUU